GCCAGAGUAGCUCAAUGGUAGAGCACUGCUUUCGUAAAGCAGAAGUUGUCGGUUCAAAUCCGAUCUCUGGCUCCA
rnacentral:tRNA from 3 species